CGGGGCAUAGUGAAACGGCAUCACGAGUCUUUUGGGAAGAUUUAUUCCUGGUUCGAAUCCAGGUGCCCCGA
rnacentral:tRNA from 1 species